AGACGCGGCGCGGGGGAUCUGCUCUUCAUUUCAGAGUUGGCAACGCCUGAAGCCCCAUUAGCGCCUGAUCUCUUGCUGACAGAUGUAGAGAGUAGCACCGCCUUUGCUGUAAUCACAGCUGCUGCUUACUUAACCUCUAAGAACGCUGCCUUGAGCACAGCGCUGAGGAUGGGAGAAAAGCCAGUCUGGAUUCCAGUGGCCCAACCCAGAACUUUGGUUACUGGAUUCUCAGCCCAUCUUCAUAGCCACUCAGGGAGGCAUGCAAGGAUGAAGACUCAAACCCAGACCUUCUCAGCAACUUCAGUAUUUUCAGUACUUUUUCCAGGAAUCUACUUACUAGAAAGAUCACCUCAAGCUAACCUGUGAAAUGAGGAUUGGGAAGAGUCAUCAGAUUUGGGACUGUGAAUCGCUCUGUUUGAAGACAAGUCUCAUGACAUGGACUUCCUGAAGAUCCACCAAUUGCCAGACUCUUUAAGAGGCCUGAGCUGACUCUUGCUUCAAGGAGCAGCCUAACAUUAACAUCAUCAAGAAAGAUCUAUUGUGCCCUUCAGUUUACGAAGUUGACUUCCUGUACUUAACUUCAUGUUCUGCUUUCUGGCUGGCUUCUGGGUUUCACAUUCCUCUUGUCAAGCACUAGCUCUUCCUUCUAUGACUGCUGAUCUUUUUCUUUUCUGGCCUUGGGUUUACUGCCCUGUUUCCUGCCUUCUUCACUGUGCUAUUUGAGGAUGCCUGUUGUCAGAGACUAGAAAAUUCGUGUCCAUUGGAGGAAAGAAAAUAGAGAAAGCCCUUCAAUGAAACUGCAAACAUGUAGGACAACAAGCUACAGACAUGCAUCAGGACGUCUCAGGCAUCACAGAUUGUGUGUCUGGAGUGCACAUAUCUAUCACAUGCUGUAGAGUGAGGCUUGUGGAAUCUUAGCUCUUUGACCAUGGAUCAAACCUACACCACCUGCAUUGGAAGGCAAAGUCUUAACCACUGGACUACCAGGGAAAUCCCACAAUCAGCACCAUCAUAUCCCCUUAACUCCCCAAGGGGCUCUUCUUGCAUUUAUUUUCACCUUCUAUAUUGACCUUCAGUAGAGAAUAAAAAUGAGAGAGAGGUCUGGACAGCGGCCCUCCUCCACUCAGUGACCUUCUUGGAUAUGGCGCCUGCAUUCCAUUCCCAGCACAGGGCUGGCUCCAAGGACGGGAGCCCUUUGCAAAGCACUGUUUCCCAUAGUUCCUGAUGCCUUUGUUCUGAGAUAAAGUAAGCCUGUGCUCCAUCCCCUCUGCCAAGCUUCUGCUUAUCACUAGGCAAGGCAAAUAUCAUUGGAAUGUUUCAGUGCACUAUUAGCCAAAUUCCAAUGCAAUCCCAAUCACUUGAUUAAGUGUUUUGAGGACUCACUAGUCCUGGCAUUGACAAGUCCUUGUAAGAGAUCAACAGUGUCAAUGGGAAUAAAUAUUAGCUUGUCCUUUCACAUUGAAUAUGUCAAGCUGACCUACAAGGAUGUAAGCACGCCAAGGGCUGCAAUUUCUGUUUGUUUUGUCUCCAAUAUAUCCCCUAAUACACCUGGAAUGCUACCAGAACAGUUCCCUGAAAUAGUGCCCGGGACAUAGU
ensembl:lncRNA